UACGAAAGGUGCAAGCGUUACUCGGAAUCACUGGGCGUAAAGCGCGCGUAGGCGGUCUUGUAUGUCGAUUGUGAAAUCCCCGGGCUCAACCUGGGAACUGCAUUUGUGACUGCAUCGCUGGAGUGCGGCAGAGGGGGAUGGAAUUCCGCGUGUAGCAGUGAAAUGCGUAGAUAUGCGGAGGAACACCGAUGGCGAAGGCAAUCCCCUGGGCCUGCACUGACGCUCAUGCACGAAAGCGUGGGGAGCAAACAGG
rnacentral:rRNA from 1 species